CACAUUCCAGGAAGUGACAUCACUUUGGAGGGAAAACAACAGCACCAACAUCACAUGCGCCGCUAACUGCACCAUAUUGCAGAGAGGCAGGCAGCCCAUCACGGAUGUAACUUUGAUUGACAAAUUUCAGACGGACAGUGCGAGCUCCCGCAGGGUGGGUGGAAUGCGGCCCAGAUGCGAGCGGCGCGGGCAAACCGAUCCGGAAAAACGGCAAGGGACGAAUCAAAGGAGGA